UCGAGAAUUUUUCACAAUGGGCGCAAGCCUGAUGGAGCGACGCCGCGUGGGGGAUGAAUGGCUUCGGCCCGUAAACCCCUGUCGUUUGCGAUCAACCGUUGUUGUUUAAGAGAUGACAACCUGAUAGUAGCGAAAGAGGAAGGGACGGCUAACUCUGUGCCAGCAGCCGCGGUAAUACAGAGGUCCCGAGCGUUGUUCGGAUUCACUGGGCGUAAAGGGUGCGUAGGUGGUAGGGUAAGUUUGAUGUGAAAUCUCCGGGCUUAACCCGGAAAAUGCAUUGAAUACUAUUCUGCUAGAGAGUUGUAGGGGGGACUGGAAUUCUUGGUGUAGCAGUGAAAUGCGUAGAUAUCAAGAGGAACACCAGUGGCGAAGGCGAGUCCCUGGACAACUUCUGACACUGAGGCACGAAAGCUAGGGGAGCAAACA
rnacentral:rRNA from 1 species